UACAGAGGUCUCAAGCGUGUUCGGAUUCAUUGGGCGUAAAGGGUGCGUAGGUGGCGGGGUAAGUCAGGUGUGAAAUCUCGGGGCUCAACCCCGAACUGCAUUUGAUACUGCCUUGCUCGAGUACUGGAGAGGAGAUUGGAAUUACGGUGUAGCAGUGAAAUGCGUAGAUAUCGUAAGGAAGACCAGUGGCGAAGGCGAAUCUCUGGACAGUUACUGACACUGAGGCACGAAGGCCAGGGGAGCAAACGGG
rnacentral:rRNA from 1 species